GACGAACGCUGGCGGCGUGCUUAACACAUGCAAGUCGAGCGGUAAGGCCCUUUCGGGGGUACACGAGCGGCGAACGGGUGAGUAACACGUGGGUGACCUGCCCUCAGCUCUGGGAUAAGCCGUGGGAAACCGGGUCUAAUACUGGAUAUGACUCCAUGACGCAUGUUGUGGGGUGAAAGCCUUGUGCGGCUGAGGAUGGGCCCNCGGCCUAUCAGCUUUGUUGGUGGGGUGANGGCCUACCAAGGCGACGAC
rnacentral:rRNA from 1 species